rnacentral:rRNA from 1 species
GAGAGUUAAAUAGUACGUGAAAUCGCUUAGAGGUAAACGAGUGGAGCCGAAAGYGUUGUAUGGGAUUCAGUUGUGURUGUAKUAAUGAUUGUUGUUUARUGAAAUCUCAAUAGGAAUUGCUAAAUCGAUAUGUUUWUUAUAUGCKSAAUGCACUUUCUAUACAACYAAACUGUGACCAAKARAAUUGUUUUUCUGUCKKAAUGAUGAARGUGAUCAAUUGUUUACAAUUGGUUUUAUAGCUCAUUGCAUGGUUAAWUUUAAUGUAUUGGUGAAUGCKAUUAGUCAAUAUUGAUAAUAGASUAUAUGUGUGAUUUGGUAGCUGACUACAUGUAGACKGUUAUWRAAUGAUAUAUGUGGUGUUGUUAUUGAUGGAUUAAUCUAAAGUCRCARUAUAAUGKAGGUUAUCUACUCSUCCCGUCUUGAAACACGGACCAAGGAGUUUUAUAUGAUCGCGAGUCAAAGGGCCAUACGAAACCCCAWGGCGCAAUUAAAGUGAAGGUUUACUUUCGUAAGUUGAGAUGUGACCUGAAGUAGGACGCAAGUCAGAAUUCAGUGCAACAUCUACCCGUCUAAAGAUGUUCGCAUCAGGGCGGAGUUUGAGCGAUCAUGUAGAGACCCGAAAGAUGGUGAACUAUGCUUGUGCAGGUUGAAGUCAGAGGAAACUCUGAUGGAGGACCGCCGCGGUUCUGACGUGCAAAUCGAUCGUCGGACAUGAGUAUAGGGGCGAAAGACUAAUCGAACCAUCUA